GAUGAACGCUGGCGGCGUGCCUAAUACAUGCAAGUCGAGCGAACGGACGAGAAGCUUGCUUCUCUGAUGUUAGCGGCGGACGGGUGAGUAACACGUGGAUAACCUACCUAUAAGACUGGGAUAACUUCGGGAAACCGUAGCUAAUACCGGAUAAUAUUUUGAACCGCAUGGUUCAAAAGUGAAAGACGGUCUUGCUGUCACUUAUAGAUGGAUCCGCGCUGCAUUAGCUAGCUGGUAAGGUAACGGCUUACCAAGGCAACGAUGCAUAGCCGACCUGAGAGGGUGAUCGGCCACACUGGAACUGAGACACGGUCCAGACUCCUACGGGAGGCAGCAGUAGGGAAUCUUCCGCAAUGGGCGAAAGCCUGACGGAGCAACGCCGCGUGAGUGAUGAAGGUCUUCGGAUCGUAAAACUCUGUUAUUAGGGAAGAACAUAUGUGUAAGUAACUGUGCACAUCUUGACGGUACCUAAUCAGAAAGCCACGGCUAACUACGUG
rnacentral:rRNA from 1 species